GAUGAACGCUGGCGGCGUGCCUAACACAUGCAAGUCGAACGGACAGGCCCUGCUUUUGUGGGGUGCUCGAGUGGCGAACGGGUGAGAAACACGUGUGUAAACUGCCCUUGAAUUAGGGAUAACUUCAGGAAACAGCGGCUAAAACCGGAUAGGAGAUCUUGCUGCAUGGUGGGGGUUGGAAAGUUUCGGCGGUUGGGGCUGGACUCGCGGCUUAUCAGCUGUAUGGUGGGGUAGUGGCUUACCAGGGCUUUGACGGGUAGCCGGCCUGAGAGGGUGACCGGCCACAUUGGGACUGCGAUACGGCCCAGACUCCUACGGGAGGCAGCAGUGGGGAAUAUUGCACAAUGGGCGGAAGCCUGAUGCAGCAACGCCGCGUGCGGGAUGACGUCCUUCGGGUUGUAAACCGCUUUCGCCUGUGACGAAGCGUGAGUGACGGUAAUGGGUAAAGAAGCACCGGCUAACUACGUG
rnacentral:rRNA from 1 species